rnacentral:rRNA from 1 species
UUGUCGUCAGCUCGUGUCGUGAGAUGUUGGGUUAAGUCCCGCAACGAGCGCAACCCUUGUUCUUUAGUUGCCAUCAUUAAGUUGGGCACUCUAAAGAGACUGCCGGUGUCAAACCGGAGGAAGGUGGGGAUGACGUCAAGUCCUCAUGGCCUUUAUGACCAGGGCUACACACGUACUACAAUGGCAGGUACAAAGGGCAGCCACUUAGCGAUAAGGCGCGAAUCCCAUAAAACCUGUCUCAGUCCGGAUUGGAGUCUGCAACUCGACUCCAUGAAGUUGGAAUCGCUAGUAAUCGUAGAUCAGCACGCCUACGGUCGAAUACGUUCCCGGGCCUU